rnacentral:ribozyme from 1 species
UUUUUUUUUUUUUUUUUUUUUUUUUUUUUUUUUUCCU